rnacentral:rRNA from 1 species
AGUCGAGGGGCAGCGAGUAGAUUGCUUGCAAUCUACGUCGGCGACCGGCGCACGGGUGCGUAACGCGUAUGCAACCUACCCAUUACAGGGGGAUAACACUGAGAAAUCGGUACUAAUAUCCCAUAACAUCCAGGGAGGCAUCUUCUUGGGUUGAAAACUCCGGUGGUAAUGGAUGGGCAUGCGUUGUAUUAGUUAGUUGGUGGGGUAACGGCUCACCAAGACGACGAUACAUAGGGGGACUGAGAGGUUAACCCCCCACAUUGGUACUGAGACACGGACCAAACUCCUACGGGAGGCAGCAGUGAGGAAUAUUGGUCAAUGGACGCAAGUCUGAACCAGCCAUGCCGCGUGCAGGAAGACGGCUCUAUGAGUUGUAAACUGCUUUUGUACGAGGGUAAACGCAGAUACGUGUAUCUGUCUGAAAGUAUCGUACGAAUAAGGAUCGGCUAACUCCGUGCCAGCAGCCGCGGUAAUACGGAGGAUUCAAGCGUUAUCCGGAUUUAUUGGGUUUAAAGGGUGCGUAGGCGGUCGGAUAAGUUAGAGGUGAAAUCCCGGGGCUCAACUUCGGAAUUGCCUCUGAUACUGUUCGGCUAGAGAGUAGUUGCGGUAGGCGGAAUGUAUGGUGUAGCGGUGAAAUGCUUAGAGAUCAUACAGAACACCGAUUGCGAAGGCAGCUUACCAAGCUACUUCUGACGUUGAGGCACGAAAGCGUGGGGAGCAAACAGGAUUAGAUACCCUGGUAGUCCACGCAGUAAACGAUGAUAACUCGUUGUCGGCGAUACAAUGUCGGUGACUAAGCGAAAGCGAUAAGUUAUCCACCUGGGGAGUACGUUCGCAAGAAUGAAAC